rnacentral:rRNA from 1 species
AGUGAACGCUGGCGGUAGGCCUAACACAUGCAAGUCGAACGGCAGCACAGUAAGAGCUUGCUCUUACGGGUGGCGAGUGGCGGACGGGUGCGGAAUACAUCGGAAUCUACUUUUUCGUGGGGGAUAACGUAGGGAAACUUACGCUAAUACCGCAUACGACCUACGGGUGAAAGCAGGGGAUCUUCGGACCUUGCGCGAUUGAAUGAGCCGAUGUCGGAUUAGCUAGUUGGCGGGGUAAAGGCCCACCAAGGCGACGAUCCGUAGCUGGUCUGAGAGGAUGAUCAGCCACACUGGAACUGAGACACGGUCCAGACUCCUACGGGAGGCAGCAGUGGGGAAUAUUGGACAAUGGGCGCAAGCCUGAUCCAGCCAUACCGCGUGUGUGAAGAAGGUCUUCGGGUUGUAAAGCCCUUUUGUUGGGAAAGAAAAGCAGCAGGUUAAUACCCCGCUGUUCUGACGUUACCCAAAGAAUAAGCACCGGCUAACUUCGUG